GCACUUACUUUAUGGCUAAAGAAGAGUGGCAGUGGGCUCAUGCUCAUGGAAUUCAUGGGUCUUACCAUGCUCCCUAUCAUCCUGAAGCAGCUGGAUUGACAGAAUGGUGGAUUGGUCUUGUGAUGUCACAAUUGCAACACCAACUAGGUGACAAUACUUUGCAGGGCUGGGGCAAAGUUCCCCAGAAGGCUGUGUAUGCUCUGAAUCUGUGUCCAAUACAUGGUGCAGUUUCUCCCAUAGCCAGGAUUCACGGGUCCAGGAAUCAAGAGGUGGAAGUGGAAGUGGCACCAUUCAUCAUUAUCCCUAGUGACCCCCUAGCAACAUUUUUACUUCCUGUUCCCGCGACAUUAUGUUCUGCUGGCCUAGAGGUCUCAGUUCCAGAGGGAGGAAUGUGCCACCAGGAGACACAGCAACAAUGCCAUUGAGUUAAGAUUGCCACCUGGACACUUUGGGCUCCUCCUACCUUUAAGGCAACAGACUAAGAAGGGAGUUACAGUGUUGGCUAAGGUGACUGACUCAGACUAUCAAGAUGAAAUCAGUCGACUACUCCACGAUGCAGCUGGGUCAGAGGUUCAUUGUGAUGACUCAGGCUACGCAAGGGCCGUGGAAUGGACGUGCAGCUGUACUUCUAAAUUCCAAUGGGACAUCAGACUGGGGAGGAUUAUGACCGGGAAAUUCAUACCCAACUGGAGCCAAGACUCUAGGCACUGAUGCCAGACAAAGAACUCGUGGUGGAAUCUUGACUUUUCAAUUCAUUUCAUCUAUAAAUUCUAUUUAACUUAA